CAGCAAUGGAGGAUCCUCAAAAAAUUAAAAACAGAACUGCCAUGUGAUCCAACAGUUUCACUUCUGGGUAUAUAUCUAAAGGAAAUCAAAUGAUUAUCUCAAAAAGAUACCUAUCAGCUGAAAAUCUAGCUGGGGGCUCUGGAGCCGGUGGGUGCCUGGGGCCAGCGGAGGAGGAAGCCGAGGAGGUUGGGGUGACUGCUUAGGUGACAUCUGAUGAAAUUAGUGAAUAAGCAAAUCAGCUAUGUCUUACACUCCGGGUGUUGGUGGUGACCCUGCCCUACUGGCCCAGUGUAUCUCUUCCAAUAUCCAGAAGAUCACACAAUAUUCUGUGGAAAUACAAAUC